CAGGCCUAACACAUGCAAGUCGAGCGGCAGCGGGAAGUAGCUUGCUACUUUGCCGGCGAGCGGCGGACGGGUGAGUAACGCGUGGGAAUCUACCCAUUUGUGGGGGAUAACUUGGGGAAACUCAAGCUAAUACCGCAUAAUCCCUACGGGGGAAAGCAGGGGAUCCUCGGACCUUGCGCAGAUGGAUGAGCCCGCGUCGGAUUAGCUAGUUGGUAGGGCAAAGGCCUACCAAGGCGACGAUCCGUAACUGGUCUGAGAGGAUGACCAGUCACAUCGGGACUGAGACACGGCCCGAACUCCUACGGGAGGCAGCAGUGGGGAAUCUUGGACAAUGGGGGCAACCCUGAUCCAGCCAUGCCGCGUGUGUGAAGAAGGCCCUAGGGUUGUAAAGCACUUUCAGUAGGGAGGAAGGCUUCGGGUUAAUACCCUGGAGUACUUGACGUUACCUACAGAAGAAGCACCGGCUAAUUUCGUGCCAGCAGCCGCGGUAAUACGAAAGGUGCGAGCGUUAAUCGGAAUUACUGGGCGUAAAGCGCGCGUAGGCGGUUAGUUAAGUCGGAUGUGAAAGCCCAGGGCUCAACCUUGGAACUGCAUCCGAUACUGGCUAGCUAGAGUGCAGUAGAGGGAGGUGGAAUUUCCGGUGUAGCGG
rnacentral:rRNA from 1 species